AUUCCAGCUCCAAUAGCGUAUAUUAAAGUUGUUGUGGUUAAAAAGCUCGUAGUUGGAUCUCGGCGGUCUGAGGGCGGUUCGCUUCAGAGCGCUACUGCCCUAUAGACCGUAGUUUUGCCAGAGGUCUCAGGGUGCUCUUAACCGAGUGUCUUGCGAUGCUGGCAGGUUUACUUUGAAAAAAUUAGAGUGCUCAAAGCAGGCUUUUACGCCUGAAUAUUCGUGCAUGGAAUAAUAGAAUAGGAAGUCGUUUCUAUUUUGUUGGUUUUCGGAAAUCGACUUAAUGAUUAAUAGGGACAGUCGGGGGCAUUUGUAUUCAAACGACAGAGGUGAAAUUCUUGGACCGUUUGAAGACAAACUACUGCGAAAGCAUUUGCCAAGAAUGUUUUCAUCA
rnacentral:rRNA from 1 species